AGCAGCCGCGGUAAUUCCAGCUCCAAUAGCGUAUAUUAAAGUUGUUGCAGUUAAAAGCUCGUAGUUGAAUUUCGGGAUUGACACAUCGGUCGUGCCUUAAGGGGUAUGAACUGGUGUAGUCAAUUUCUCACCUUCUGGAGAACCGCGAUGCCCUUAAUUGGGUGUCGCGGGGAACCAGGACCUUUACUUUAGAAAAAUUGAGUGUUUAAAGCAGGCAUUUUGCUUGAAUACAUUAGCAUGGAAUAAUAAAAUAGGACGGCAUGAUUCUAUUUUGUUGGUUUCUAGGAUCACCGUAAUGAUUAAUAGGGAUAGUUGGGGGCAUUAGUAUUCAAUUGUCAGAGGUGAAAUUCUUGGAUUUAUUGAAGACUAACUACUGCGAAAGCAUUUGCCAAGGAUGUUUUCAUUAAUCAAGAACGAAAGUUAGGGAUACGAAGACGAUCAGAUACCGUGUAGUCUUAACCAUAAACUAUGACCGACUAGGAAUCAGACGAUGUUAAUUUUUAAUGUACUCGUUGGCUAC
rnacentral:misc_RNA from 1 species